GUGGAUUAGAUACCCGGGUAGUCCACGCCCUAAACUAUGAUCACUCGAUGUUGGCGAUACACAGUCAGCGUCUAAGGGAAACCAUUAAGUGAUCCACCUGGGGAGUACGACCGCAAGGUUGAAACUCAAAGGAAUUGACGGGGGCCCGCACAAGCGGAGGAGCAUGUGGUUUAAUUCGAUGAUACGCGAGGAACCUUACCUGGGCUUGAAAGUUAGUGAAUCUUCCUGAAAGGGGAGAGACCGAAAGGACACGAAACUAGGUGCUGCAUGGUUGUCGACAGCU
rnacentral:rRNA from 1 species